GAUGAACGCUAGCGGGAGGCUUAACACAUGCAAGUCGAGGGGCAGCAUAGGGUAGCAAUACUCUGAUGGCGACCGGCAAACGGGUGAGUAACGCGUAUGGAACCUACCCACCGCAGGGGGAUAACCCGCCGAAAGGCGGACUAAUACCCCAUGGUUCCCCGACCCUGCCUGGGGUUGGGGGUAAAGCCUACGGGCGGCGGUGGAUGGCCCUGCGUGCCAUUAGCUGGCUGGUGGGGUAACGGCCCACCAGGGCGACGAUGGCUAGGGGGUCUGAGAGGACGAUCCCCCACACUGGUACUGAGACACGGACCAGACUCCUACGGGAGGCAGCAGUGAGGAAUAUUGGUCAAUGGGCGGAAGCCUGAACCAGCCAUGCCGCGUGCAGGAUGACGGCCCUACGGGUUGUAAACUGCUUUUCCAGGGAGAGAAACUUACGCACGUGUUGCGUGACUGACGGUACCCUGGGAAUAAGCAUCGGCUAACUCCGUG
rnacentral:rRNA from 1 species